UCCUUCCCCACCCGCCCCGCCAUCAGCGCCCCAUUUUGCUCGGACGACAACGCGCCACCACCAAUCAACGCCCGUGGAUCCUCGUCAAUCAACGCCCGCGGACCCUCCUCCCCACCGCCGCCGCCUGUCCAAAUCUGUCGCGGAUCCGCACAAUGGAAGGUCGUCUGUACCGCGCCCGCACCGUCCAAAUCUGUCGCAGAUCUCCUCUCCCCAUUACUGGGAGGUCUGCCAUUCAUGGAAGGUGCGCCAUCUACUCCUCUGCCCGCCAUCCAUGGAAUUCUUGUACCACGUUGUGGAUCCGCGCAAUGGAAGGUCGUCUGUACCGCGCCCGCGUCGUCCAAAUCUGCUACGGAUCUCUUCUCCCCAUUACUGGAAGGUCCGCCAUGCAUGGAAGGUGCACCAUCUACUCCUCUGCCCGCCAUCCAUGGAAUUCUUGUACCUCGCAAUGGAUCUGCACAAUGGAAGGUUGUCUAUACCGCCCGCUGCCCACCCCUACCGGAAAUCCCAUCCCGCCCCACCCCACCGGCAGAGACAAUGCACGAUGCCUCCCUCCAAAGCCAUCAACCUCCCCUCCCCCUUGCACCGCACCACACACACACCCCUGCACCAACGCCAUUUUCGUGCCUGGAUAGAUCGUAGAUCUACGAGGUAGCAUCGAAUGGCUCUCCCGUAGGAAGGGUAGAGCCUCCGUGUGGUGGCCUCCAGAUCGCAACUCCGGUUCUUCUUCCCACCCCGCGGUGAGACCAGCCCCAGCCCCUUUCUUCUCCCUCUCUAUCCAUCCUCGACCCCUCUCUCAUAAUAAGGAAGGAUAGAGCUCAACCAAGGCGCUCCCCUCAGCAGGCGCAUCGACGGACCGAAUUUUGGCGAAGAGAACGCUUGGAGCGCCUCUAUCCCCUCCACGAUGGAGGCCAGGUACACAGCAACCGUGCCAGGGAACAACACCGUUUUGAUGUCGUUUUGGAGGUGAGGAUCUACGCCCUCGUGGCAUGCUUGGUGGCCGGACUUGCCCUCACCUCUAUCCCCUCUAGGCCUCUGUGAUGGAGGCUGGGUACUCAGCGGCCAUGGCCCAAUUCGCCGCUCUCGUGACCGGGGACGCCGAUGUACUAAGGGUGGUUGUGGGUUGAUCUCUGCAACACCAACAUCAUGCUCGCCUCUUCUCCGUCUCUGUCCCCCCGCGUCUACCGUGCUCCUCGCCCCUCCUAAUGUCGUCCUCUCCAUCUAGCGCCACAGCCGAUGCACGCCUCCGGGCUCACGCCGUGCCCCGCGUCUACCGUGCUCCUCUCCCCUCCUAAUGUCGUCCUCUCCAUCUAGCGCCACAGCCGAUGCACGCCUCCGGGCUCACGCCGCGCCAAGCCCGUGGGGAGGCGGAUCUCGCCCACAGGCCGCAGAUCUCCUUCCAAACUAAGAGGCAACAGAUAGGCGGCCCCCUUCCACAAAGGACACAAUUUCACCCCUUCCAUAUUUGGCGGCCAUGGCAUGCACUACGCCCCCUUCCUCGCCCUCAUUCCAAAUUCAGCCCACAACUGCGCAUGCACCCACCUCAAUGGACUGCUAUUGUCUGCAUCGGAAGUGCUAUUGUUCUGGUUGGUUGGAACAUGAGGAGGUGCGCAAAGGUAGUGGUGAGUUCGCUGUUCAUUUUUUUGUAGUAGGUCAAAGGGCCGCUGUGGCUGGAUUUCGAAGUCGCAUCACUGAACUACUAGGUGCACAAGGGCAUUUCCUAAAAUCUGCGAGAUCAGGUUUUUUCCCUCUUCUGUAUUGAGUGCUUGCCCAUCGGUCAGAUUGGUUCAAGCACAUCUAAUUUGGUCUCGGUCUCUUGGAGGAGUAUACUGGCACAAAUUUCAUGCCCUUUUGCUCCUCUACUUUUUCUUGAAAAUGUGGCUUGAUUAUGUCAGAGUGGUUCUAGAUUUGUUCAUUGGACAAGAUUGGCCUGGUUUUCUAAAAUGACCCCAUGAUUUUAAGUGUCAAGAUCUUCAAUGCUUUUGUAUUUGAGUCAAGUAAUUGCCCUGAAUCUCUUCUGUAUUUGGUCAUGGAUUGGAUCCUGUAAUGUUUAUAGUGUUCCAUUUUGAUGAUCCAAGCCACCAAUGGAGUAAAAACUGGAGUAUUUUUUCCAAAUUGGUUAUACGUGUCAGUUUUUUUGUUUCUGUGCUGAGAUGCUGGUGAACCCGUAGGUGCCUGAGUCAUUUUGGGGCAUUCUAAUCGUAGAGCUCUGUUGGGGUGAAUCCAGUGAUGUGAGUACCUUUUAAACUAUCAUGGUAUGAUUUAUAUUCUCUAUUGACAACUCACAUUUUUUGUGCUAUUUUGCUUGAUGCUUGGAACAAUCUGUUGUUUGGUUUAUAUAUUGUAUACAUUCAUGUGUUAUUCUGCUAGAUGCUUGGAAGAAGCCAUCUAUGGUAUUGUUUGAAAUGAUUUGAGCAUUUAAUCCCUUAUAUUUGAAUAGAUGGCAUAAUUGGAGACUCUGUCCAUAUAACUUGGCGAUGUUCUGUAUUUACUACAAGCACCAUUAUAGGAUAAUAGUGUUCUUCCAUAGUCCCUUGCAUCAGUUGGGCUUUAAUUUCAAUAGUCUUGCAUCGGUUGGUAUUUAAUAGUCUUGCAUCGGUUGGGCUUUUUCUGAAGUGCUAAUAGUGUUCUUCCAUAGUCCCUUGUCCUUAUGUCCUUUGUGGAAGGUCGAGGAUAUUUUAGGUUCAAACCAUGUAUAAUUUCAUUUCUGCUCCAAUUAGGUGGCUACAACUUACCUGCAUAGACAAAAUAUAAGUAUGUGCAAUAAUCUAGCUAGCAGAGUCGAUCUUCCCUACGCUAUAGAGCAUGUAAAUUACUAAUAAUUUGUCUAACAAAAACUGACCCAAUCCUAGAAUUAGGGAUGGCAAACAGUAGGACUAGAAUUCAGCUGCAAAAUGCCAGGGACCAUAUAAGUCAGGUAAUAACUAUCAGGAAAGUGAAGCUAUCAAUUUCUAGCUGCACACUAUAUAGCUGACCAGUGCAUUUUGAUUGUUUAGUUCACUAGCAUAUUCAUCCAUUGAGGUGGUUCUUUUUUUCCUUUUCCUUUUGAGGAGCUGACUGCUUGUCCGAGAAAGUGUUUAUUAGGAUCGUUUUGCACUAGAAGGUUCAAAUAAUGUUUGGUUAAAAAAUGUCAUCUGUUAUAGGAUAGAGGCUAUAAAUAUAAGAUAGAAUAUACCCGUUCUUUAGUACAAUGUGGCUGCAUUUAUUUUAGCUGCUCAGAUUUGCCACUCUUGGAGCUUCUAGGGGUUGUCGUUGUGUCUCCUCCCAUGAUGAGCUUGAUGUUGUCUGUGUUGCCGUCACCAACCUCUCUUUUGUCAGUGUCACCACUGGUAGUUCUCAAACACAAUUUCACCUCCUUAGUUGUAACUUGCUCCAUGUAUUUUCAUCUGUUCAAUUUUCUAUAUGAAAGUUCUUGGUGGCUUGCAAGUAAUAUGCCUUCAUCUAGCAUGCCUAACAACAUAAAUAUUUUUUAGUUGACAUGAGUAUGAGUGCACUAACAUUGUAAUCGUCUGCACUAAUCUUCAAUUUCUGACUUUUUAUGCUUUAGGAUUCCCUCUUCUUGGACCUACUGAAAUAGGUCAAGGUGGUUUUUCUAGAACAACAUUUAAUCUUGCCAUCAGUGAGAUUUGGACACCUUACAAAGGAUAAGGAUUACGAGGAUCCACCAGACUCUGCAUCGGCGUGCCCGCGCGCUAGAUGGCCAUUGAGGAGACACUACCGAUGGAGGCGCCAUCUUUGGUAGCUGAGGACAAAUUAAAUUUUGCCUUCCUAUGAAGUUUCUACCUUUUCCAAAUUUAAAGUCAUUAAGAGGUUAGUGCCCUGUUCCAUCUUGGCAGAACCUGCCUUACAAUUUGAGCCCCACAUUUUGUUGAAGAAAUGCACAUGUGUGAAGCUUCAGUUCUGCUUCAGCUCUGCUUCAGUUAUGGUAAUCUGCAAAAGCUAUUUAGGGUCAAUCCUUGUUGCAGAUUAGGAUAUGAUCCUCCCUUUAAUUCAAGCCUGACAUCAACUGUAUUUUCUUGGCCGUCAUUCUAUUGAACAUCAUGUCUUGAUUUAUAGAGCCGAAAGUAAUAUCUCACUGCAUUUUUUUGUUUUAUAUUUUGAGAUAUUGAUGAUUUGGUCUGUAAUUCUGUGAUUUCAGGUGGGGUCUGAAACCAAAUAUUUAGCUAUUAUGAAUGCUUGUAUUGUUUCUUAUCUCAGAUUGGCUCUUUAUCACGUUUUAAAAGCAUAUGGCAGUAUUAGGAAGUUGGGCGUUUGAUUGGUUCCGCUGUGAGGAUUUGUACAUGCUUUCGACGCAUAAUUUUCUCUUUUUUCUACUUUUUUGUUUUUCUCUGGUUCUUUUUUCAUUUUACUUUGUUGGAUCUGAUUCUUUCCUCUAGAGUUCAGAACCAUUGCAUCACCUAGCAGGCUACAAUCGCAAAGUGAUCACUAGAUUGUUCGAUGACUAUUUAGUGACUGCUUCUCUUCCCAGAUUUAUGUGGUACUGGAUGGGAAUGGAUGUUUCUAAGAGUCUGUUAACCCUCCUCUUCAGUUCAAGAUUGUGAUGAUUUGUAGUACUGAAUUGGAGGCUUUUAUCCCAUGCAAUUUAUGUGGUACAAGUAAGGGUGUUGUGUGAGAAGGUGAAGGAGAUUCUAGUGGAGGAAAGAAAUGUUCAGGUUUUCUAUUUUGAUCACUUUGACUUAAUAUUAUCAGCAAUUCCAUUCUAUGAUCAUUUGAGAUAUCAUCUUGUUUGGGUUCGCUUAACAUUUCUUCAUGUCUAGCAUAAGUUUUGACCUGACCCAGUUAACAAUUAAAAAAUGGUCCAAAUCCUCAGCUGACAUUCCACGCGGCCUUGCACAAGCUAAAUGACACCUUAUAUUGCAUCUUCGUUCCCACACAUCAUCUUCAAGAUUUGAUGAAGGAUUCCUGAACCCACCUUUUCUUAAGUUUUUUUAAUAAAGCGUCAUAGUGGUGGGAACGAAACACAUUCUGAACCUUGUAUACAUGUAACAUACAUGUCAACAACAUGCUAAUGUGGAGUCUAAAUGCGCCAUGAUUUAAGUUGAAUCAGGAACAUUUCAUGUCAUACCUCUCAGUUAGCGAUUACUUGUAGCUUAUUUCCUGCUAGAGAGUUUGUAGCUUAUUUGUUCACAACACUAUUUGAAGAGUUCAGUGAAACAAACUCUAGGCAAGAGGUACCACUUGGCUUGGCUUCCAACAUUUCUGGUUAUCAUGAUUCACAUGCUCUAUAUAUGUUGAUGGCAUGGUAUAAUCUUUGCGAUUUCUAAAAUAUUCAAUCUUGUAACAGUUUCAGACACUUUGGUGGUUUAAGUGCAAAUACAUAACAAAAUGAAAUGUACUCUGUGUAUUAGUAUUGAAUGACGAUGUCAGGUCCAACAUAUAUAUGAACUAUACAUUAAAAAGGAUAUUAUUAAACUCAUAUUAUGUUUGUAUGAUGCUGGGAAUGUAGUACUUAUAGUAUGGGUACAAGAGUGUUGGAACUGAUGAUGAAGUGAUAUCGUCAACCGACUACAGUUGAGAAACUUAGUGUCAUCUGAUUUCUGGUCAUGACAUAGGUUAUGUUUAUAUCCCACAGAAGCAGAGAAGAAAGUCUCAUGGUAUGUUCUAUGUCUAGGUAGCAUAACCUUGAGACGGGUUUUGCGAUCUGAAUUUGAUUUCAGACUUUCAGUGAGUGGUAGCUUUUCUUUGUUUCUAGCAGAUGGCAAAAACCAUGGAAGGACGAGAUUUCUUAAGUGUCAAGCCAAAGAAAUUUAGUCAAUGAAUUUUCUUGCACAUGGAAUUGCUUAUCUCUAAUUGCAAAUUAUCUGUUCUAUUUUGUGUAUUUUAUCUGUUCACCAUUUUCUAAUAGUUCGUCCCUUCUUUUUUGUAGUUUGUGGGUAGAUGUGGAUCAUAAUCAGCUACUCUAUCUGUAAUAGUGUGAGUAUUUCCAACACCAACACCGACGAUCCAGAGCCCAGGGAAAGUAGCAAGAUUCUGAGCUCCUACAGUUAGACAUCCGCCAGACCCAGUCACGACGACUGAUGUUGAAAACUAGCAGCUCGCCUACUUCAGUUGAGUGCAAAGCUGCCAACAUCUGAUCCAUGCUUUUGGGUUCUUUGUAUCUGUAUCUAUCAAUUCAUUAAGUGCAGGACAAUCCACGUUUCUGCCACCAAAUGGGGCAUCUUUUCCCUGUGGUCCAGUUUUAACUUGAGAACAAUUGAACAAAUGUCCAAUGUGAUGUCUGAUUUCUCAACA